AAGUCGAGGGAGGAGCUUUCGGGCUUCGACCGGCGUACGGGUGCGUAACGCGUAUACAAUCUGCCUUUCACAUAGGGAUAGCCCGAAGAAAUUUGGAUUAAUACCUAAUGGUAUAUAAGUGUGGCAUCACAUUUAUAUUAAAGCUGAGGCGGUGAAAGAUGAGUAUGCGUUCUAUUAGCUAGUUGGAGAGGUAACGGCUCCCCAAGGCUACGAUAGAUAGGGGUUCUGAGAGGGAUAUCCCCCACACUGGUACUGAGAUACGGACCAGACUCCUACGGGAGGCAGCAGUGAGGAAUAUUGGACAAUGGUCGGAAGACUGAUCCAGCCAUGCCGCGUGCAGGAAGACGGCCUUAUGGGUUGUAAACUGCUUUUGCAGGGGAAGAAUAAGGAGUACGUGUACUUUGAUGACGGUACUCUGCGAAUAAGCAUCGGCUAACUCCGUGCCAGCAGCCGCGGUAAUACGGAGGAUGCGAGCGUUAUCCGGAAUCAUUGGGUUUAAAGGGUCCGUACGUGGGCUAAUAAGUCAGAGGUGAAAGCGCUCAGCUCAACUGAGCAACUGCCUUUGAAACUGCUAGUCUUGAAUGGUUGUGAAGUAGUUGGAAUGUGUAGUGUUCUCGGUGAAAUGUCUUAGAUAUUACACACGAACACUCGAUAGCGAUAGGCAUAUUACUAACAUAUUAAUUGAUCGUCUGAUGGACGAAAGUCGUGGGGAGCGAACAGGAUUAGAUAUCCUGCGUAGUCCACGCUGUAAACGAUGGAUACUAGCUGUUUGGUUGUAAGACUGAGUGGCUAAGCGAAAGUGAUAAGUAUCC
rnacentral:rRNA from 1 species